UACAGAGGUCUCAAGCGUUGUUCGGAUUCAUUGGGCGUAAAGGGUGCGUAGGCGGCGCGGUAAGUCGGGUGUGAAAUCUUGGAGCUUAACUCCGAAACUGCAUUCGAUACUGCCGUGCUUGAGGACUGGAGAGGAGACUGGAAUUUACGGUGUAGCGGUGAAAUGCGUAGAUAUCGUAAGGAAGACCCAGUGGCGAAGGCGGUCUCUGGACAGUUCCUGACGCUGAGGCACGAAGGCCAGGGAGCAAACGGG
rnacentral:rRNA from 1 species